GCAGAGGAGGGAGGACGAGGAGCAUGACGGCGGCGGCGGCAGGGAGCAGCAGUAGCAGGCGGAGGCGCUGUGCUUGCAAGCCUCCCAAAUCCCAAAUCCCCACCCGACAGGUUUACGCGUGCUCAUUUCCUUGGCUGAUGCGGAAGGGGAGGCUUGCAAUGCUGAUGCGUAAGGGGAGGCUUGCAAGCAACCCCAGUCUGAAUGAAUUCAGUCAGGGUCACACAGGGGGUAAGGCAUCCCGAUGCGGUAAGGAACCAGGUUCUGAAUUCGGGCAGCGUCAACUCAAUCUGAGGGGGAGGCUGCCCUGCAGUUCUGGACCAAGAGGGAAAUCAUUGGUCCUUUUUAGACAAAAAAAUGCAAUUGGCAACACGUAUGACUGUUGUUCUUUAUGACUGUUUAGUUUAGUAUUGUGGCAUUCCUGGGAAGCUUGCAGGUGCAGAUACAGGGAAACUAGCUGCUUCUACUUUGGUUUGAUACAUAUGUAAUGACUUGCAUAGUGUCUGCUUGCGGGUGCAGAGGGUGACUUGCAAGGGUUUCCUGCCCCCAGGGACCCGGACAUGGAUACCCUCCUCUUAGAAUCCAGAUGGGCUCAAUCGCUUCUGUAGUUUAUGAGCUCGAUAGUUUAUGAUCUCGAUGUUUGUACCACUGACUAAACGUGUAGAUGUUUGCAAUUCUUUCUGUGCAUGUAGCUGACUAUGGUUGCUCAAAAUUAUUUCAGUUGCUUGAGAGAGCCCUUGAAGUGUAUGGAAAUGAUUUGGAUGAUGCAAUAAAGAGUUUGAAGGACCUGCACCUGAUGGAGUCAAAUCAGGGUAACCUAUCGUCCACUGGUUCCACUUUUGAAAAUGGGCCGACAGCAGUUCAGCCAUCUGUUGAAGGUGUUGUUACCAGCGGAGGUGUGGACACAGCUACUGAACACCAACCUGCCACAGCUAGCCAUCAGCCACGUAAUAGUGGCCCUAAAUGGGUCGAUCUUUUUGUGAGAGAGAUGUCAAAUGCUUCUGACAUGGGACAGCGCUCAAGCUUGUGCUUCAAGAGCUGUGGAAGCCUUGACGAAGUCUAUUCUGGAGGGUGCAGGAGCUGAAGCGCACAGAGCUUGCUUCAGGAAAACAUGGUGCUCAAGGAGCAGGUGACGGCCGUCCUGUCGUAGAACGGGGUCCUGAAUUUGUUUAUAUAUUUGUUAGAUGUACGAGCAGCAGAAGAAAAUCUCCCCUCCGCUCAUUGUUGGUGGUUCAGACUCGGGUCGUCGAUGCAAAUCAAUCAAGUGCCCCCAUCUUUAGUUAUUCUGUUUGGUGAAUGGGGAGUUGAUGAACCCGGGGUAGCGACAGAUAUACCUUAUCUUCCCGGCGGACAGCACCUUCCACGAGGAUGACGUCUCCAACUACUCCAGCAUCUACGGUCCUGUCCACGAUGUGCGCAUCCCCUACCAGCAGAACCACAUGUUUGGGUUCGUCACCUUCGUCUACAAGGAGAAGGGCAAGGUCCCCGGCAAGUUCAGGCAAGC